CGGUACCGGAGAAUAAGCACCGGCUAACUACGUGCCAGCAGCCGCGGUAAUACGUAGGGUGCAAGCGUUAAUCGGAAUUACUGGGCGUAAAGCGUGCGCAGGCGGUUUUGUAAGACAGAUGUGAAAUCCCCGGGCUCAACCUGGGAACUGCMUUUGUGACUGCAUAGCUGGAGUGCGGCAGAGGGGGAUGGAAUUCCGCGUGUAGCAGUGAAAUGCGUAGAUAUGCGGAGGAACACCGAUGGCGAAGGCAAUCCCCUGGGCCUGCACUGACGCUCAUGCACGAAAGCGUGGGGAGCAAACAGGAUUAGAUACCCUGGUAGUCCACGCCCUAAACA
rnacentral:rRNA from 1 species